AAACUAAGAUUUACCCUUGUAAAUUUCAUAAAUCAGUUAUAAAUUACAGUGUACAUAGAUUUGUAUAUAGUGUAUAACUCCUAUUAAUUUAAUUAAUCUUUAUUCUGGGCCUACUCUGUGCCAAGGACUAUGAGAGAUGCUGAGACAUGUAAGAAUAAAGAAGACUGAUGAGAUUUCUCUCCUCAGAUAGCUUAGUCGGUGAGAAGACCUUAAAUGACAAAAUUGCACAGACUAUGCUAUGAUAGUCAAAGUGCAGUGCUAGAGUGCUCUAAUAAUUUUUGUAGAAGAAGCCAGGAAAAAGUGACAGCUGAGUUAUGAAAGAUGACUAGAAGUAAACCAAUAAAGAAAAUAAAAUGGAGACAUGGAGAGAAGAAACUGAAGUCCUUAAAAGGUUGUGUAGACGAGUGAACAAUAUAUUCUUGGUUUCUUGACCCCAAAAAAUCAAAGGGCAAGAUCUCUGCUUAUGCUUUCUUUGUGCAGACUUACAGAGAAGAACAUAACAAGAAAAACCAAGAAGAAAAAUUGUCCCUGUCAAUUUUGCAGAAUCUUCCAAGAAGUGCUCUGAGAGGUAGAAGACAAUGUCUGGAAGAGAGAAGUCUAAAUUUGAUGAAAUGGCCAAGAGACGGGGUUUCACCAUGUUGGCCAAGCUGGUCUCAAACUCCUGAAAUCGAGUGAUCCACCUGCCCCGCCUCCCAAAGUGCUGGGAUUACAGUGGGAUUACAGUUGUGAGCCACCACACACCAGGCCCAGAAUAUUUUGUAAAGCAAAUUUUUCAUCAAAGAAAGCUUGGACAGAAAAUAUGCCUGGUAAAUCAGUCUUCUAAAAGCUGCUGGAGAUCACUAAGAGACGGACCCAGGGCCUGCAAUAUUGUGGGUCAAUACUUCAUGAAACAGAAGGUACUCUUGAUGCAAGGAUGGAAAUCGUAUCUGUAUCAGAAAUCGUCUAGAAAAAAAUUGCUGGCAGUCAAUGUAACUGAGCAGCAAGAAUAUGGUUUGCAUCAUUCUAGGCAUUGA
rnacentral:lncRNA from 13 species